UGCAAUUAAAAUUUUAGAACUUCACGCGAAUCAGUGAAGAUUUUAGAACUCCCUUGGAUCUUGAAAUUUUUUCUUUCUUCUUCUGAUUGACAUCAACACAACAUCAGCGCCUUUUUCUUCUUCCCUGAAAACAUUGGCUCCAGCCUCUACCGUUAAUCAUGCCACCGGCGUUGAUCGCAAUUGUCACCACUGCCACCAGACUGGACCCUCGCCGUUGCAAUCGUGUAAACCUUAGGAACCAUCCUUGCACGUUAGAGCUCGCAUCAAUAGUUGCUCUACUCAACCACUCCAUCUUGCUGCCAUUUCCGGUGAGACGCCUGGUUUUGUGGCAAACUCCAAUUUGAGUUGCUUGAACUCGGGGUACUUUGCUGGUUCUGUUUGAUUAAUUGCUAUGUGAGAUUGAUUGAAUUAUCAAAUUUAUGAUAUGUUUUGUAUUUGAGCUAGUGCAAUGUUGUUGUGGUUCAUGUUUAUUAGAUUAAGUGAUUGUAAGUAUUUACUCGAUUAAGUGAUUAAGCGCAACUGCAAUCCAUUCACGACAAACUCAAUAAGAAGCCAUCUUAUGAGCCUACGGUUUCCAAGAGGGAGAGCGAGGGGGAUAGGGAUAUGGAUAGGGAUAGGACUAGGGAGAGAGGGAUAAGGGACAUGGAUAGGGAAGCACUUCUCUUCACAAACAGUGUAGGUAAGAGAAGGCGGUAAAUGAUAUAGGAAAUGUCAGUGAAGCAAGAAAGGGAAACCAUGUUGGGACGAAUUCUUCCAACCUAAUUGAAGGUUAUGACAGUAUGUCAUCUGCUGAAAGAGUCAAAGCCAAGAUGAAGCUUCAGCUCUCUGAAAUUGGUAAGCAUAUAGAUCUCCAAGGCAUAAAUCAUCCAUACUUAAAUACAUUUUCACCAUAUGUUUUGAAGUGAACUAUUUUUCUUGACGUAUCGAACAAUGAUGUUUGGUGCACUAAUCUUGAAUGUUCUGAAAAUCUUUCCUGUAGUCAACUAGUUUGAGAAUGAAAUGAUUAUGUUCACAUUACAUGGAAAACUUGGUUUUUGGCACAAAUAUUGGCCAUGCCUUCUCUAGUCUUCUUGUAGUAUACGAUUAUUUGAUGUUAGAAACUACUAGUUAAGGUUGCUACUAUCUAGUCAUAUAUAUGAAAAGAGCUAGUUAUAACAAACCAAAAUUUUAAUGUUUCACCUUUGAAGUAACAUUGAUGUACUAAAUUAUUAAUUACCUGCAAUUCCUUUUUCUUUCUCGAUGUAACAACAAUUCUGGUUUAAAUGGAUGAAAUUUUUUGUUGGGAUGAGUAGUUUAAUUUGAAGGGCGUACUGGUAAAUUUUGCAUGGGUACUAAGAUGACUUGAUAAAGAAAUAUUGCUACUCUUCAAGCUUAUGUUCAAAAGUUGGAAAGUAGUCAUUUAAAGCUGACCUAACUAGAUCAAGAGCUUCAGCGAGCUGGGCAGUAGGUAGGGUGCAAUUAUUCUUUGGAAGCUGACCUAUGCUCAUAUUCAAUUUAAACUCAAAUAUCUAGUUUCUUAUCCUUCAGGUAUGUUUGUCCUUGUCAUACAUAAUUGUAAAAAAAUUGGAGGGAACUUUGGCUUGCUUUUUGUAUUGGUUCUGUUUUUAACUGCACCAUUUUCAAGAUGGAGAAGGAUUUAAGGCAGCAUGGUAUAAAGCCAAAGUAAUAAGUGUGAAGGAUGGUAAAGCUCUACAAUUUUCCUGUAGAUGAUGAAGGUUAUGUUGAUCAUCCAUAAGCAACUUUAGCAGCUUUGGUUACAAGUAGGAGAAAGUUACUCAUAUACAAGGACUCAACAUCAUUUCUUUUAAUUAUUUAUUGUAAAAGAUCAUGUUAGGAUUAUCAAUAUUUUUAAUUUUAAUAACUUUAUAUGUAGUAUAAAUAAUCAUAUGUUGUAUUACAUUAUUAA